UACGGAGGGUGCGAGCGUUAUCCGGAUUUACUGGGUUUAAAGGGUGUGUAGGCGGACUGUUAAGUCAGUGGUGAAAUCCUGGAGCUCAACUCCAGAACUGCCUUCGAUACUGGCGAUCUUGAGUCCGGAAGAGGUGAGUGGAACUCCUAGUGUAGAGGUGGAAUUCGUAGAUAUUAGGAAGAACACCAGUGGCGAAGGCGGCUCACUGGUCCGGUACUGACGCUGAGGUGCGAAAGCGUGGGGAGCAAACAGG
rnacentral:rRNA from 1 species